GUUUACAUGCUGUUAUGUAAAAAAAAAAAAGUAUUUUCCUCAUACUGUGCCUGAAUAUACCUGAAUUUACCCUCUGUCUGAAACGCUCCGUUUUUAGCACAUUUCAAAAGAAUUACGUUGCUAAGCAACACCUAGGGUCCAUGUUUACUUCCUGUCAGCUGAUGUUAUUCAGAUCC